UGAUUUUUAGGCUUCUUUUUUAAGAUUGGUACCAAAGAAAACAUGACAAUAUCAGAUGUCUACUCAUAUUUUUUUCUCUAGUGCCUAUCUCAUGUGAUUUUUGUUCAAAGAGGAGCUCUUUUUCUCAUUAGGGAUAAAGGAGAGAGGGAGACGGAGAGAAUGGGCUGAAUGGAGAAAAUGGAGCCCAUUUUCAUGCUAUGGAACUUUUUCCUUUUCUUUCUAGAAAAAGUCUUUGUGCACCACAUGCGAUGUAAUAAAUUUGAUGUGGAGCAC
rnacentral:lncRNA from 1 species